ensembl:lncRNA
GUUUGAUGUUUUAAAGACCUAUCAGUGACAACGCAGCAAUACAGAAGAGUCUCUCAGACUACAAAGGAAUCUGGAAGGAUUUGAUAGCUGAGGCUUUUCUUGUCGCAAGAACAAAGGCAACUACUGCUCAGAUUUUCUGUGUCUUGCAAGCUUUGGAGAAGAUGAUGAGCAGAGGGUGCCCUCCACCAGAACAGCGAGCCCUGCAUCCUCUGGGUGUCCAUCUGUCCAUCUUGCAUAGCCCUGCGGUGCUAUUGCAGGGGAGGAGCAGACCAGGUGUCCCAGACAAGGUUUGCAAACCAGGACGUGACUGCACCCAGCCUGCGCCCGGCACGUGCAGCUGUUCAAUGUCUACGGUGUGGGAUUAAAAUAGCCAGCGUGCUCCUCGUGUCCCACAGCUCUCUGCUUUGCAAAGCUGGAGCCCUGCAGCAGCCUUCUCCCACAGCCUCACCGAGGGACACCCCUGGGCCAAGGGCACUGCAUGGUGAAGGCAUGCACUUGUUUGGGGCCUGCAGAGCUCCGGGCUGUGCCCUUGGGGACUGGCUGUUCGUGGGCUUAUUUCAGUUUUUGGAGACUGGAGUUAGCAGAGUUUCAUGGGAAAGCUUUAUACUUUUGCUGUACGUUUGGUUCAGUAUUUUCUAACGGUUCUAAAUCAGUUACUCAUUUAACCCAGGCUGAGUAAUGAGACUUUGAUAGGCUGAAAUUUUGGCCUCGGAGCAAUAAAGUCUUUCUAAAUACUGCAGAAGCCGAAAUAUUUAUUUUUGGCUUUGUUCACUGUCUGAAGUGAUGAAAGGAUUCUUUCAGGCAGCUGUUCUCUGCGUCUUGUAAAGUUGGCUGCCCCACAGAGAGGGAGAAAAAGAUGCUCCCCUGACCUUCCGACGCUCUCUGUGAGCCUCAUGCUUCAUAUAGAGCCUCUUCUGCUGACCUCCCCGGAGCCAGAGACCACUUGGAUGUCACCGUCUUGGGCUGUCACCUUCCAACACACACUGCUGCCCAACGAGGGAGAAGCUCAUUCUGUCAUUAAGGCUUGGGGGAGCCUGGAUCUGCUCCUCUGUCACAGGCUUCUCGUGUGAGGCCAGAUAGACUGUUUGGGUGCUGUGUAUGGAAUUAAAGAAUAACAGGAGCUGGCAGAAAGGUGCGUGGGCUCAUGUCCCAGGCCUAUGCAGUGCUGGACCUUGGUGACUGUGGAAGGAUGGAGCAGAGCAGUGCUGACCCCAUUGCAGGGACAACACUGUAUCUCUGGGGCUCUUUGGCGUUGGUUCCCUCUCACCAAGCACGGGUCCGUAUUGUGGAGACAAUGAAGAUAGAAGCAAAGGGUGAACGUGGAGACCAACUUCUCCCAUUUCAGGUUGUGCCUUCCAGUAAUUUUCAUAGAAUCACAGAAUGGUUUGAGUUGGAAGGGACCUCUGAAUGCCGUCUGGUCCCACUGCCUGCACUGAGCAGGGACACCCACAGCUCCAUCAGUGCUCAGAGCCCCGUCCAGCCUGACUGUGGGUGUGUGCAGGGAUGGGGCACCGCCACCUCUCUGGGCACCCCGUGCCAUUCCUCACCAUCCUCAGUGUAUUACUGUGCCCUUAUUUUGGGGAUGUUUUCCAGGAAAGCACUGCCUGUCGCUGCCAACCUGGUAGCUCCUCUUCUGCCCUGCUGGGGCUGUUGGCUUAGAAUCAACUUCAUGUGGAAAUUAUUUUUAACAAAUAUUUCUUAUGGAAAUAUUCUAUUUACAGCAUGUGCUAAAAGCAUAAAACGUGAGAAGGCAGAUUUGGGCACUGUAUUAUUAUUAUUUUUUUUUCCUCAAGGACUCAGGGAAUAUUUUGCACAGAUAUUUUAAACAGCUGUUAUAUUUAGCAAGUCUAAGCUUGAUACGAGAAGUAAAUAAAUCAAAGCAGCAAACACAACAGAAGAGAAAGAGAAGCCACAAUGCAGGUUUUGAGCCUGUCCAAAACGCGUGGGUUUGGAAUACAUUUGUAUUUGGAAAUGCAGCAUCUCGGAAGCAGUGCAGGUGGGUGAAGGGUUUGAAGCUUUGUGCUGCUCUAACACAGCACUGAAAGCUGAUAAGGAUGGAAAAUGGUGUUUUUCUGGAGGUUAAUUGGAAUUUAAGUGGAAUGGACCUCAGAAGCAUCACAGUGUGCUGAUGCUGCUCUGGGAUUUGUAGUCAAAUAGCCUUUGUAGUCCUUGUGUUGUCCUGGUGGGUUUCUCCAAUCUGGGCAACUGAGAGCCUGUGGCUACAAGAUACCAACCUAAGGUGUUUGGAAGAUGCCCUGCAGGGCUGUUAUGGGGAUAGCAGCGCCUUGCAAGUCACUUCUCAACAGAAGGCCGAGGAGAUGAGGUGUGGACAUCAGAGCACAGGGCAGGACGGAGGCUGAGCACAGCAGAACUGA